rnacentral:snoRNA from 1 species
GCACACAUUUUAUUGACCUGCUUUCUUUUAUACACAUAUGUGAUAGCUGAAGGUUGAUUAGCAGUGUAACCAAGUAGCAGUUGGAGUCUCCUUCAAAGAAAU